rnacentral:lncRNA from 1 species
UGAAGCAGGGUAGCCGCACGGUAGCGGAAUAUGAGCGGGAGUUCUCUCACAUCAUUGACUGCGUCCCCGACGUAGUGCGGGAUGACAGGGAUCGAGCCGAUUGGUUCGGGCGAGGGCUCCGGGCUGAUAUCUACUGGGCGGUGCACAUAUUGAAGCUCACUACCUUCGCGGAGGUGCUCGACAGAGCGUUGUGGGCGGAGCAAGGAAACGCCCACAUCCGGGAUGAGCGAGAAGCGUUCGAGAAGGACGGUGGUAAGAAGCGGGCUCAGAGUAGCUCGGGAGCUCAAACUAAGUCAAGGAAGCCCCCGAAGUACCCGCGAACGCAAUCCAAGGGCCGCGGACCGCAGCGGUGCACAAUCUGUGGUGGGAACCACGAGCCAAGGACGUGUGAUCAACGGGAAGGGAAGUGCUUCACGUGUGGACAGGCGGGCCAUAUCAGCCGCCACUGUCCAGUGAGGGCUUCGCCGGCCCCUUCGGUCACGUCGGCUCCGGCGACUCCGGCGCAUUAUGGAGGAGUCCCACCUGCUGCGUCAUCGGCUGGACGUGCAAUGGUACCACGCCAACCUGAGGCAACGAGAUCGGCUCCGAGCGGGCGGGUGUUCACCGCCCAAACUCAAGCCGAGGAACCUGC